GGGCCCGUAGCUCAGCGGUAGAGCAUCUGACUUUUAAUCAGAGGGUCUCGGGUUCGAAUCCCGACGGGCUCACCA
rnacentral:tRNA from 1 species